CCGAAGCAGAAUUCGGUAAGCGUUGGAUUGUUCACCCACUAAUAGGGAACGUGAGCUGGGUUUAGACCGUCGUGAGACAGGUUAGUUUUACCCUACUUUUGAAGGGUUAUCGUAAUAGUAAUUCAACUUAGUACGAGAGGAACCGUUGAUUCGCGUAAUUGGUAUUUGCGGCUGUCCGAUCGGGCAAUGCCGCGAAGCUACCACGCGUUGGAUUAUGGCUGAACGCCUCUAAGCCAGAAUCCGUGCUAGAAACGAUGAUGUUAGUCCCGCAAAUCUCAGUCGAGUAAAGAUAGAGCUUCGGCUCGUAAACCAUAGUUGGCUGGUCAUGUUCUGUAGGGCGGAAAGGCCUUGCAGUUCUACCGGCGAAUAGCAUUCGAAAUAUUUGCGGGGGUAAAUCCUUUGCAGACGACUUAAAUAGAACGGAGUGCUGUACGCAGUAGAGUAGCCUUGUUGUUACGAUCUGCUGAGGCUAAGCUCUUGUUCAACAGAUUUGUUCAACUUCGGUUG
rnacentral:rRNA from 1 species